GACGAACGCUGGCGGCGUGCUUAACACAUGCAAGUCGAACGGAAAGGCCCUGCUUUUGUGGGGUGCUCGAGUGGCGAACGGGUGAGUAACACGUGAGUAACCUGCCCUUGACUUUGGGAUAACUUCAGGAAACUGGGGCUAAUACCGGAUAGGAGCUCCUGCUGCAUGGUGGGGGUUGGAAAGUUUCGGCGGUUGGGGAUGGACUCGCGGCUUAUCAGCUUGUUGGUGGGGUAGUGGCUUACCAAGGCUUUGACGGGUAGCCGGCCUGAGAGGGUGACCGGCCACAUUGGGACUGAGAUACGGCCCAGACUCCUAUGGGAGGCAGCAGUGGGGAAUAUUGCACAAUGGGCGGAGGCCUGAUGCAGCAACGCCGCGUGCGGGAUGACGGCCUUCGGGUUGUAAACCGCUUUCGCCUGUGACGAAGCGUGAGUGACGGUAAUGGGUAAAGAAGCACCGGCUAACUACGUGCCAGCAGCCGCGGUGAUACGUAGGGUGCGAGCGUUGUCCGGAUUUAUUGGGCGUAAAGGGCUCGUAGGUGGUUGAUCGCGUCGGAAGUGUAAUCUUGGGGCUUAACCCUGAGCGUGCUUUCGAUACGGGUUGACUUGAGGAAGGUAGGGGAGAAUGGAAUUCCUGGUGGAGCGGUGGAAUGCGCAGAUAUCAGGAGGAACACCAGUGGCGAAGGCGGUUCUCUGGGCCUUUCCUGACGCUGAGGAGCGAAAGCGUGGGGAGCGAACAGGCUUAGAUACCCUGGUAGUCCACGCUGUAAACGGUGGGUACUAGGUGUGGGGUCCAUUCCACGGGUUCCGUGCCGUAGCUAACGCUUUAAGUACCCCGCCUGGGGAGUACGGCCGCAAGGCUAAAACUCAAAGGAAUUGACGGGGCCCCGCACAAGCGGCGGAGCAUGCGGAUUAAUUCGAUGCAACGCGUAGAACCUUACCUGGGUUUGACAUGGAUCGGGAGUGCUCAGAGAUGGGUGUGCCUCUUUUGGGGUCGGUUCACAGGUGGUGCAUGGCUGUCGUCAGCUCGUGUCGUGAGAUGUUGGGUUAAGUCCCGCAACGAGCGCAACCCUUGUUCACUGUUGCCAGCACGUUAUGGUGGGGACUCAGUGGAGACCGCCGGGGUCAACUCGGAGGAAGGUGGGGAUGACGUCAAGUCAUCAUGCCCCUUAUGUCCAGGGCUUCACGCAUGCUACAAUGGCUGGUACAGAGAGUGGCGAGCCUGUGAGGGUGAGCGAAUCUCGGAAAGCCGGUCUCAGUUCGGAUUGGGGUCUGCAACUCGACCUCAUGAAGUCGGAGUCGCUAGUAAUCGCAGAUCAGCAACGCUGCGGUGAAUACGUUCCCGGG
rnacentral:rRNA from 1 species